rnacentral:rRNA from 1 species
UACGUAGGGGGCAAGCGUUGUCCGGAAUCAUUGGGCGUAAAGAGCGUGUAGGCGGUUCAGUAAGUCUGCUGUGAAAGUCCAGGGCUCAACCCUGGGAUGCCGGUGGAUACUGCUGGGCUAGAGUACGGAAGAGGCGAGUGGAAUUCCCGGUGUAGCGGUGAAAUGCGCAGAUAUCGGGAGGAACACCUAUUGCGAAGGCAGCUCGCUGGGACGGUACUGACGCUGAGGCGCGAAAGCGUGGGGAGCGAACAGG